rnacentral:lncRNA from 1 species
AUGAAUCUGACAAGUAACCAUGAGGUCCUGCGUUCGAUCCCUGUCCUCGCUCAGUGGGUUAAGGAGCCCACGUUGCUGUGGCUGUGGUGCAGGCCAACAGCUGUAGCUCCGAUUAGACCCCUAGCCUGGGAACCUCCAUAUACCUCAAGUGUGGCCCUAAAAAGCAAAAAAAAAAAAAAAAGUAAAGAAAACAAAAGCAGAGAGAGAACAGAGGGAGUAGACAUGGGUUUACCAUGUGUGGAGCAAAGACUCAUCACUCUGCUUCCCUACUGCACAUGCGUGUCGCUCUCUGCUUCCCUGUGGACAUGCGUGUCACUCUCUGCUUCCUUACUGCACAUGCGUGUCACUCUCUGCUUCCCUAUGCACAUGCGUGUCACUCUCUGCUUCCCUGCUGGAGAUGCGUGUCACUCUCUGCUUCCCUACUGCACAUGCGUGUCGCUCUGUGCUUCCCUGUGGACAUGCGUGUCGCUCUCUGCUUCCCUGUGGACAUGCGUGUCACUGCUUCCCUAUGGACAUGCGUGACACUCUCUGCUUCCCUACUGGACAUGCGGGUCGCUCUCUGCUUCCCUAUGGACAUGCGGGUCGCUCUCUGCUUCCCUAUGGACAUGCGGGUCGCUCUCUGCUUCCCUAUGGACAUGCGUGACACUCUCUGCUUCCCUACUGGACAUGCAUGUCACUCUCUGCUUCCCUAUGGACCUGCGUGUCACUCUCCGCUUCCCUAUGGACAUGCGUGUCACGCUGCUUCCCUACUGGACAGGCGUGUCGCUCUCUGCUUCCCUAUGGACCUGCGUGUCACUCUCCGCUUCCCUAUGGACAUGCGUGUCACUCUCUGCUUCCUUACUGCACAUGCGUGUCACUCUCUGCUUCCCUGCUGGAGAUGCGUGUCACUCUCUGCUUCCCUAUGGACCUGCGUGUCACUCUCCGCUUCCCUAUGGACAUGCGUGUCACGCUGCUUCCCUACUGGACAGGCGUGUCGCUCUCUGCUUCCCUAUGGACCUGCGUGUCACUCUCCGCUUCCCUAUGGACAUGCGUGUCACUCUGCUUCCCUACUGGACAUGCGUAUCACUCUCUGCUUCCCUGUGGACAUGUGUGUCGCUCUCUGCUUCCCUGUGGACAUGCGUGUCCCUCUCUGCUUCCCUGUGGACAUGUGUGUCGCUCUCUGCUUCCCUGUGGACAUGCGUGUCGCUCUCUGCUUCCCUAUGGACAUGCGUGUCACUCUCUGCUUCCCUACUGCACAUGCGUGUCACUCUCUGCUUCCCUACUGGAGAUGCGUGUCACUCUCUGCUUCCCUAUGGACAUGCGUGUCACUCUCUGCUUCCCUAUGGACAUGCGUGUCACUCUCUGCUUCCCUAUGGACAUGCGUGUCACUCUCUGCUUCCCUAUGGACAUGCGUGUCACUCUCUGCUUCCCUAUGGACAUGCGUGUCACUCUCUGCUUCCCUAUGGACAUGCGUGUCACUCUCUGCUUCCCUAUGGACAUGCGUGUCACUCUCUGCUUCCCUAUGGACAUGCGUGUCACUCUCUGCUUCCUUACUGCACAUGCGUGUCUCUCUCUGCUUCCCUAUGGACAUGCGUGUCGCUCUCUGCUUCCUUACUGCACAUGCGUGUCACAUGUGUUUUCUGUGA